GGCGAAUCCCGGCGUGCGCGGGCCGGGCGCAUGGAGCGGUUAGUGCGGCUGCAUCUCGGAGGGGCCUGACGGGGACCUCCACCCUCCUCUGCAGGAGCUUCAGGGGCUCCCGGUUUCCUUAAGCAGCAGCUGUGGCCAACCUCUGCGCGCAGGACCGGGCCGCGGCGCAGGACCGCGAAGCCGGGCAGCCGCGUCGGCUCCUGCGUAAAUAUUUAUUCUGCAUGUAUUCCAGACAUGGUCGGUGUUUGUUCUCCCAGAGCUCACACUACCCUGGAGGAAACAGAGCUCCUGUGAGCCUUUAAUCGUGAAUUUCCAGGAAGAGAAUAGAGAUAUAAGAUCUACAAUGUUUGGUGUUCCCUUGGCAAGAAAUCUUUUGAGGGACAGGCAAGGCUUUAGUUAUGACUUUUGUGAUCCCCACCCUUCAAAAACUAAUAAUAAAGAUUAUAACUGUGUUAGUAUAAGGAUGAAUAUGUUAAUAUUAUAUAACAAAACAUUUUCUCUGACCUAAAAGUCCUUUUUUUCCUUCUGAUUUUAAAAGAAAUUAAAACGUUUUUGUGGACCCCUGGAAGUAUUGAGGACCCUAGGCUUUGUACUCUAAGAGGCAGUUGGCCAUGCG